CCUACGGGAGGCAGCAGUGAGGAAUAUUGGUCAAUGGACGAGAGUCUGAACCAGCCAAGUAGCGUGAAGGAUGACUGCCCUAUGGGUUGUAAACUUCUUUUAUAAAGGAAUAAAACGAGGCACGUGUGCCUUUUUGCAUGUACUUUAUGAAUAAGGAUCGGCUAACUCCGUGCCAGCAGCCGCGGUAAUACGGAGGAUCCGAGCGUUAUCCGGAUUUAUUUGGUUUAAAGGGAGCGUAGAUGGGUUGUUAAGUCAGUUGUGAAAGUUUGCGGCUCAACCGUAAAAUUGCAGUUGAUACUGGCAGUCUUGAGUACAGUUGAGGUAGGCGGAAUUCGUGGUGUAGCGGUGAAAUGCUUAGAUAUCACGAAGAACCCCGAUUGCGAAGGCAGCUUACCAGACUGUGACUGACAUUGAUGCUCGAAAGUGUGGGUAUCAAACAGGAUUAGAUACCCCUGUAGUC
rnacentral:rRNA from 1 species